UACGUAGGUGGCAAGCGUUGUCCGGAAUUACUGGGCGUAAAGGGCGUGUAGGCGGCCUUUUAAGUCAGGCGUGAAAUAUCAGGGCUUAACCCUGAGGCUGCGUUUGAGACUGAAAGGCUUGAGGAUCGGAGAGGGCAGUGGAAUUCCCAGUGUAGCGGUGAAAUGCGUAGAUAUUGGGAGGAACACCAGUGGCGAAGGCGACUGCCUGGACGACACCUGACGAUGAGGCGCGAAAGCUAGGGGAGCAAACGGG
rnacentral:rRNA from 1 species